rnacentral:tRNA from 1 species
ACCCAGCUGGCUCAGGCAUAAGAGUGUGUGACUCUUGAUCUCAGGGUUGUGAGUUCAAGCCCCAUGUUGGGUA